rfam:Strigamia maritima strain Brora ctg7180001232867, whole genome shotgun sequence.
UAUCUCUGGUUUCUGGUCAAUGGAAAAAAUCUUUCGCCUUUUACUAAAGAUUUCCGUGGCCGGGAGCACUCAAUGAGUCUGUAGACCAAUUUUUGCAAGUCUCGUCUUUGGACGGGACA